GGGUGCAGGGAGUGAGAGCCGAGCUCUGUCCUCUUGGGUGCAGGCUCUGGGGUGGUCCAGUACAUGAACAGAACACGGCAGCUUGUCAGUGGGUGCUCGUGCACCUGAUGGGUCUGCGGGACCUUUUCUGGGUCUACUGAGCAAAAGGAAAACGGAUGGAUGAUGGCAGUGGCUGGGGGAGUUUGCUUCGCCUCUGAAAAUUACAUCCCAUCUCUGGUGUGACGGAGUGGAAUCCACCUGGAAGAUGAAGGGAAUUGUUCCUAAACGCCCUUGUCCUAGUGGGAUGGAUUCAGGGCCAGGCAGGAACCCUGAACUCGCAGAGAUGGGGAACCGGAGGCAUGGGAACCGCAGCACCACAGGGACCGGCAGGGGAAAUAGCUUAAAAAAACUCACCCGAAACAACACUGUGCUAUAUUUGUAAGCUAUCUGUAUAAAACAUAUCUGCAUUGAAUAUCAGUGUAAUGGGAAGCCAGUGUCAGGGAGUGUGACCCCAAGUCCAUCUGGAUGCAAUUCUAGCCUAACAUCUGAAAAUCAAAUACAUAUUUUUGAAGCCUA